rnacentral:rRNA from 1 species
UACGGGGGGGGCAAGCGUUGUUCGGAAUUACUGGGCGUAAAGGGCUCGUAGGCGGCCAACUAAGUCAGACGUGAAAUCCCUCGGCUUAACCGGGGAACUGCGUCUGAUACUGGAUGGCUUGAGGUUGGGAGAGGGAUGCGGAAUUCCAGGUGUAGCGGUGAAAUGCGUAGAUAUGGGGAGGAACACCGGUGGCGAAGGCGGCCACCUGGACGGAUACUGACGCUGAGACGCGAAAGCGUGGGUAGCAAACAGG